AUCGAACGCUGGCGGCAGGCCUAACACAUGCAAGUCGAACGAGUGGCGGACGGGUGAGUAAUGUCUGGGAAACUGCCUGAUGGAGGGGGAUAACUACUGGAAACGGUAGCUAAUACCGCAUACCAUCGGAUGUGCCCCGAUGGGAUUAGCUAGUAGGUGGGGUAAAGGCUCACCUAGGCGACGAUCCCUAGCUGGUCUGAGAGGCUGACCAGCCACACGGGAACUGGACAACGGUCCAGACGCCGACGGGAGGCAGCAGUGGGGAAUAUUGCACAAUGGGCGCAAGCCUGAUGCAGCCAUGCCGCGUGUGUGGAGAAGGCCUUCGGGUUGUAAAGUACUUUCAGCGGGGAGGCGUUACCCGCAGAAGAAGCACCGGCUAACUCCGUGCCAGCAGCCGCGGUAAUUC
rnacentral:rRNA from 1 species